rnacentral:rRNA from 1 species
UACGGAGGGUGCGAGCGUUGUCCGGAAUCAUUGGCGUAAAGCGCGCGUAGGCGGCCUUGUAAGUCCGUUGUGAAAGUCAAAGGCUCAACCUUUGAAAGCCGAUGGAUACUGCAAGGCUGGAGUCCGGAAGAGGCGAGUGGAAUUCCUGGUGUAGCGGUGAAAUGCGCAGAUAUCAGGAAGAACACCAAUGGCGAAGGCAGCUCUCUGGGACGGUAC